GAAAGAAGACACUGACAAUUUGGAAAGUAACACACGAACUAGGUUUUGUGCUACUUGAAAAUAUCACCUAGAGUAUAGACCCAAGCAAACAAUACUCCAGCAAUGUCAAGGAAGCAAAAGCAAGUUUAAAUCAAAAAAAGAAACUUUGAAUUCAAAUAAAAACGAACCUGGACAAAAGUUUGAAAUUAAUUCACUUCAAAGCAAAUUAAAUAUGGAUCUAAUUAAAUCUACCCAAAAAGGAAAGUAUCAAAACACUGCAAAUAGAAUCAGAAAAAAAAAAUGUAAAUUUCUCUCAGAUCAGAGACAUGGACGAAAAUUCUGGUGUUAAAAGAAGGAUUUGACAUCAAAUCAAUGUAGAUGCAAUUGCAUUAAAUGUGCACUUUAGGCAAUAGGCAGAAUUUCUUUUAUCUCAUAAUCUGGAUUCAACCCAAUUCAAAAUUCAAAAUUCAAAAUUGAUUCCUAUAAUUUACUGCAAUCAAUUGAAAUAGGUAAGGCAAUAUGGAUGAAAAAGGAAGUAUAUCACAAUUUCGGCCAGAUCAAGGUAAAUAAUGCAAAGGCGAUUUUUUUUUUUCAAUUUUUUUUUAGAUUAAUAAUCAAGAAGGUGCAGCCAUGGAUACAAAAGUUUUCACCGAAAUCAACAAGAAAGACAAAGGAAAACUCAAAAACCCUAGAUCCUAAGAUAAAUAAGAAUUUACCUCACUUUUGGCUCUGAUACCAACUGACGCGGAACCCUAUGGCAUAAGCCUCAAACCCACACGCACAAGUAGAUACGGAAUCCAAAGAUUUGAUAAACCCACCUCCUAUGGCACCCCAAACUUAGAGAAGCUGAAACAC
rnacentral:lncRNA from 1 species